rnacentral:misc_RNA from 1 species
AGUCGUAACAAGGUAUCCGUAGGUGAACCUGCGGAUGGAUCAUUAACAAAGGUGUAUUUGAAGUUGUGUGAACAGUUGGAGGUGGUGGUGGUGGUGGUAUUGGAUGGUACUGGGUGGUAUUGGAUGGUACUGGGUGGUAUUGGGUGGUAUUGGGUGGUAUUGAGUGGUGUAACCUUGGUCUAACCUUGGUCUAACCUUGGUCAACCUCACUCAACCUCACUCAACCUCACUCAACCUCACUCAACCUCACUCUCCCAACCUCACUCUCCCAACCUCCACCACUCCGUCCCUAUAAUGUAUACAAACUGAUGUCUGCUAGUUUCAAACUAAAACAACUUUUAGCAACGGAUCUCUUGGCUCUC